UACGGGCAGACUUGAGUUCGGUAGGGGAGACUGGAAUUCCUGGUGUAGCGGUGAAAUGCGCAGAUAUCAGGAGGAACAACACCGGUGGCGAAGGCGGGUCUCUGGGCCGAUACUGACGCUGAGGAGCGAAAGCGUGGGGAGCGAACAGGAUUAGAUACCCUGGUAGUCCACGCCGUAAACGUUGGGCGCUAGGUGUGGGGACUGUUUCCACGGUUUCCGUGCCGUAGCUAACGCAUUA
rnacentral:rRNA from 1 species